ensembl:lncRNA
GUAAUGACUACUGUACUGGUCAGUGUACUGUAGUCUCUAAGACUCACCACAGAGUGAGACUGGUACCUGCCGACAGGGACUGAGAGAUAUCGGUCUCCCUGUGCGAUGGUUCUAUACAAAACACUAACGUUCAGAAGAGACUUUGUGUGUGUGUGAGAGAGAGAGAGGUCAGUGUGUGAGAGAGAGGGUGAGGUCAGUGUGUGAGAGAGAGAGUGAGGUCAGUGUGUGUGUGUGAGAGAGAGAGGUCAGUGUGUGUGAGAGAGAGAGAGUGAGGUCAGUGUGUGUGUGUGAGAGAGAGAGAGAGAGGUCAGUGUGUGUGUGUGAGAGAGAGAGGUCAGUGAGAGAGUGAGGUCAGUGUGUGUGGGUGAGAGAGAGAGGUCUGUGUGAGAGCGAGAGAGAGAGGUCCUUGAAUUGAAUUGAGAGUUCAGUGUGAGAGAGAGAGAGAGAGUCAGUGUGUGUGAGAGAGAGAGAGAGAGGUCAGUGUGUGUGUGAGAGAGAGAGAGAGGUCAGUGUGUGUGUGAGAGAGAGAGAGAGGUCAGUGUGUGUGGGAGAGAGAGAGAGGUCAGUGUGUGUGUGAGAGAGAGAGAGG